ensembl:snRNA U6 U6 spliceosomal RNA
GUGCUCGCUUCGACAGCACGUAUACUAAAAUGGGAACGAUGCAGAGAAGAUUAGCACGGCCCCUUGUGCAAGGUUGACGUGAAAAUGUGUGAAGCUUCCAUAUUUGG